rnacentral:lncRNA from 1 species
GCUUGUGCAGGUGCUGAUUGAGCCACAUGUUGACAAACCACCAGGGGCCUCCCAAGUUGCCAGUGGAUUGGCCGAGCAGAAGUUUCUGGGCUACUUGAUGGAGAAGGUGGUAAGCAGCGCCAAGCAAGUAUCGGCCGAGAGGGAAUCGGGCACCAUUAGUCAGUCUUUCUGCUGCCGAUAGGUAGACAGAAGUCGGUCCUGCCGAUCGACCACAGAAUACAAACUUGUCCAGCCACAUGUUCAGAAAGGUGGUUUGUUCCUUUAUGGUGACAGAUCCUUUCCCACGGUACUUCUG